CCUAGGGGCGCAGCAGUGAGGAAUAUUGCACAAUGGGGGGAACCCUGAUGCAGCAACGCCGCGUGGAGGAUGACGCAUUUCGGUGUGUAAACUCCUUUUAUAUGUCAAGAAAAUGACGGUAGCAUAUGAAUAAGCACCGGCUAACUCCGUGCCAGCAGCCGCGGUAAUACGGAGGGUGCAAGCGUUACUCGGAAUCACUGGGCGUAAAGGACGCGUAGGCGGGUUGGAAAGUCAGGUGUGAAAUCCUACAGCUUAACUGUAGAACUGCACUUGAAACUUCCAAUCUAGAGUAUGGGAGGGGGAGAUGGAAUUAGUGGUGUAGGGGUAAAAUCCGUAGAUAUCACUAGGAAUACCUAAAGCGAAGGCGAUCUCCUGGAACAUUACUGACGCUAAGGCGUGAAAGCGUGGGGAGCAAACAGGAUUAGAUACCCCAGUAGUC
rnacentral:rRNA from 1 species